AUUGAACGCUGGCGGCAUGCCUUACACAUGCAAGUCGAACGGCAGCAUGGAGAGCUUGCUCUCUGAUGGCGAGUGGCGAACGGGUGAGUAAUGCAUCGGAACGUACCGUGUAAUGGGGGAUAACGUAGCGAAAGUUACGCUAAUACCGCAUACGACCUGAGGGUGAAAGCAGGGGAUCGCAAGACAUUGCGGUCUACGAGCGGCCGAUGUCAGAUUAGCUAGUUGGUGAGGUAAAGGCUCACCAAGGCGACGAUCUGUAGCGGGUCUGAGAGGAUGAUCCGCCACACUGGGACUGAGACACGGCCCAGACUCCUACGGGAGGCAGCAGUGGGGAAUUUUGGACAACGGGGGCAACCCUGAUCCAGCCAUGCCGCGUGAGUGAAGAAGGCCUUCGGGUUGUAAAGCUCUUUCGGCCGGGAAGAAAUCGCACAGGCUAAUACUCUGUGUGGAUGACGGUACCGGCAUAAGAAGCACCGGCUAACUACGUGCCAGCCGCCGCCGUAA
rnacentral:rRNA from 1 species